rnacentral:lncRNA from 1 species
CUUUUAUUUUCCCCAGCCACCAUAGCCCCACUCAAUAUGACAUUUAGACAGAUGAGCCAGCAAUACAGUAGUUACAUGUGUCUGGGAUUUGUUUUUUAAAUUAUAUGUACCGCUUUUAAUAGCCUGAUUACAGCUGUUCAGUAAGUGAUGCCUCUAGACUGAAGAGGACCGAAAUGAGAAGCAGGCCAGCUAAGAGGGCUGGGAGCAGCACGUUCCCCUUGUUAUUGCCAGCUAGUGGGGAGAGAACAUAUGGCCACUUUACAAAGUUAAGAAUCACAAACAGCAGACAAGAAUGAAUGAUUAAUGCUGGAGUUCCUGGAGUAUGGGCCAAAGAAGUUCCCCCAAAAGAAUAUUUGAUCAGUGAACAUUGCUGUCUAGUGAACGACGGGGAGGAAAAGGAGACACGAAAUGCAAUAGAGAUGGAUAUGAUGACUAAUUCCUUUCGAUUCAGAGUAUCAUAUUUCAAGUCACAGAUGGACAACCUGCACUGUACUGUCCAUAGACUGCCCAGGCAAUUUUAAAAAUUUAAGACUUGCAUGUUAGAUGUGGUGAAUGGGGAGUUACAUGCAUAUAGCCAAAUCACUCCAGAGGGACAUCCAAAAAUAACGGGAGAGGAUAGAUGCUGCGUAGAUAUAUUCAAGGAAGUCAUAUUUCAUUGGACUUUUUAUUUAAGCAAAUUGAAUGGUGAUGAAAGAAAAAAGCAACUAUAUGGUCAAUAUCUGUCAGAGAGCCUUGUUCAUCAGCAAGGCAAGGAAAUACUCUGUCUGGUAGCUAGGAAUGAAGGAUAAAUUUAAAUGGCCCAGAAGGUAACCUGAUAUUUGCCUAGAGGUCAGAAGCAUGACUGGGAUUAUUUUCCUUUUUUUCAUAGAAAAAGGAAGGCAGCAAUUUCUUCCCAACCAUGGACAUUCUUCAGUCCCUUUCUCUGCAUCUUUUUACUUUCUAACAUUGACAGGUUCUCAUGCAUUGAAAUGUUCAUCCUUUGACCUUAUUUCCUUUAAUAAUUAGCACCUUACUUCUUUUCUAUUUUCUGCUGCCAAAUACUUGAAUGAGAAAUCUAAAGCUACUGCCUUCAUUUUCUCAUCAACCUCCUAACCCCUCUGCAAUCUGGCUUUUAUCCCCACACGGAUACAACUUUCUUAGGCACAAGAGAUCUUUUUUGGGGCAGCAGAAGUGUGCAUUGUGGAUAAAAACCUUGCACCUGGCAUGAGAUUUUAAUUUAAAUCCUUGCUUUUUUGCUUACUAGGAUGUUACUUAAACAUACCAUGCCUCAGUUUCCUCACCUGAGUGGGACUAACAAUGGGACCAACCUCAUAGGUUGGUAUCAAGAUUAACAGACAAAUUGUGUGUAAAUUCCAUAUCAUGCUGUAUUAGUCAGGGUUCUCCAGAGAAACAGAACCAAUAGGAUGUGUGCAUGUGUGUGUGUUUGCAUGUGGAUUUGUGUGGGGCAAGGGGAGAGAAAGUAAGGAAUUGGCUCAAAUGAUUAUGGAGGCUGGCAAGUCCCAAAGUGAGACAGCAAGCUGGAAACCCAGGAGGGCUGAUGGUGUAGUUAUAGUCUGCAGGAAAGUAGGCUUGAGUCCUCGAAAAAGCUGAUGUUUCAGUUUGAGACCAAAGGCAGGAACUAGGGGAAGGGCAGCCUUUUAGUUCUAUUCAGGUCUUUAACCCAUUGGAUAAAACCCACCCUCUUGAAGUCAAAUUGUCCCUGUUUGCAGACGACAUGAUUGUAUAUCUAGAAAACCCCAUUGUCUCAGCCCAAAAUCUCCUUAAGCUGAUAAGCAACUUCAGCAAAGUCUCAGGAUACAAAAUCAAUGUACAAAAAUCACAAGCAUUCUUAUACACCAACAACAGACAGAGAGCCAAAUCAUGAGUGAACUCCCAUUCACAAUUGCUUCAAACAGAAUAAAAUACCUAGGAAUCCAACUUACAAGGGAUAUGAAGGACCUCUUCAAGGAGAACUACAAACCACUGCUCAAGGAAAUAAAAG